GGUUUCCUUGGUUGCCUUAGCUCUUUGUCUGUGGUCCCUGUGUAGAGAUGAGGCCCUGCGAACUCCUCUCACCACAUUAGCAUGUCGACGGGCGUGAUCCCGGUUCAGCUCAUGUUUGGGCAGCCAUGUUGGUGAAGAGUUCACGGGUGUAGCAACGGACGUUUUUUAGGAGUCACAGCUCACAGGCUUCCUUCAUGCUUUCAGUCUUCAGUCAAAUAUUACCUCUUUUUCGUAGAAAUAAUUUCCUGUGCAAAGUAUGGAAGUUUCAUCUGUCAAUCAAAAGGCCUAUGGCCAAUGAGCAGAGACAGGGUUAGAAGGUGGGACAUCCGGUAGAGAGAGAGAAAGGAUUCUAGGACAUAGUCUGGCAUAGGAGACAUGCUCCAGACACAGAAGAAGACAGUCUCAUGGACAAGCUGGGAUGCUGUGGAACUUUUACAUCACCACCAUGGUUUCGUGAAGACUUUCCUCCAUGGAUUCUGGCUCAUGGAAACCAGAGGCCCCUGAGGGGGACAGAAGAGCUCCUAUCAUUGGAAGAGCCGACCUCAGGGCCACUACAGAGAAAAUCCAGCAACACUUCUGGUUCCAGCGGGGGCUCCCUGCCUCCCCCCGCCACCCCACCUUUCCAGGGAAUGAGGGCCAGAUUUGCCUUCCCUGCAUUUGAUGUUUCUGCUGAAACCACCAUCAGAUGUACAAAGUGCCUUAUCCACCAUCAUGGUAUUCCACACGGCAUUGCUUCUGACCAAGGAACUCCUUUCACAGCCAGAAGUGCGACAUGGGACCCAUAACCAUGAAAACCAUUGACCUUCCUAAUGUCCACCAUCCUGAAGCAGAUGGCCUGACAGAAAGAUGGAAUGGCUUUUGAAGACACAGUCACAUCAUCAUUAAAUGGCAGCAGUAUGGAGGGCUGGGACAGGGUUCUCCCAAAGGCAGCAUAUGCUUUGAAACCAAUAUAUAGUACUGUUUCUCCUAUAGUCAUUGUCCAGAAGCAUGGAAAUGGGAACAGUUCCACUCAUUGUCACCCAAGUGACCUACUAGGAAAUGUUUUGCUUCCUGUUCCCUUCUCUUGACCUUGAGUUCUGCUGCCCUAGAAGUUUUGGUUCCAGAGUGCGAGCAUUCCUGCUGAGACCCAAGCAAGCAUCCAUUGAACGGGAAGCUCAGACUUUGCCCUGGCCACUUUGGGCUUCUGACACCCUUAAGCCAACGGGCUAAGAAAGGAAUGAUAAUGUUAGAAAGGGUGAUUAAUCCAUGCUACCAAGGGGAAACUGGAUUGCUCCUCCACGGUGGAGGUGAGAAAGAUUAUAUCCAGAGUACAAAAGAUCCUAUAGGGCAUCUCUUGGUGCUACAAUGUCCUGUGGCUAAAGUCCAUGGGAAACCUCAACAGCCUAGUCCAGGCAGGAUGACAAAGGACGCAGAGCCAUCAGGAACGAAGGGAUGGCUCACUCCUCCAGGAACAGAGCCAAGACUGACUGAGGGGCUUGCAGAGGGUGGAAGAAAUACAGAAUGGAUAGUAGAGGAAGGGAGUUACAGAUACCAUCUAAGGCCGCGUGACCACUUGCAGAAACGAGGAUUAUAAUUGACACGAGUGUGUGUUGUGUUUUGUUACGAGUUUGUUUGUUCAGGUGUUUGUGUUUCCUUUACCUAAUUUCUUUUUUUUUUUGUAAUAAAUAUUUUGUCAUCCUUU